rnacentral:rRNA from 1 species
AACGAACGCUGGCGGCAUGCCUAACACAUGCAAGUCGAACGAGACCUUCGGGUCUAGUGGCGCACGGGUGCGUAACGCGUGGGAACCUGCCCUUAGGUUCGGAAUAACUCCCCGAAAGGGGUGCUAAUACGGGAUAAGGUCUUCGAACCAAAGAUUUAUCGCCUUUGGAUGGGCCCGCGUUGGAUUAGCUAGUUGGUAGGGUAAAAGCCUACCAAGGCGACGAUCCAUAGCUGGUCUGAGAGGAUGAUCAGCCACACUGGGACUGAGACACGGCCCAGACUCCUACGGGAGGCAGCAGUGGGGAAUAUUGGACAAUGGGCGAAAGCCUGAUCCAGCAAUGCCGCGUGAGUGAUGAAGGCCUUAGGGUUGUAAAGCUCUUUUACCCGGGAUGAUAAUGACAGUACCGGGAGAAUAAGCUCCGGCUAACUCCGUG